rnacentral:rRNA from 1 species
UUACGGGAGGCAGCAGUAGGGAAUAUUGCAUAAUGGGCGAAAGCCUGAUGCAGCAACGCCGCGUGUGCGAUGAAGGCCUUCGGGUCGUAAAGCACUUUUAGAGCGGAUGAGGAAGGACAGUACGCUCUGAAUAAGCCUCGGCUAACUACGUGCCAGCAGCCGCGGUAAAACGUAGGAGGCGAGCGUUAUCCGGAUUUACUGGGCGUAAAGCGUGUGCAGGCGGUCGGGUAAGUUGGAUGUGAAAGCUCCUGGCUUAACUGGGAGAGGUCGUUCAAUACUACCGGACUUGAGGAUGGGAGAGGGAGGUGGAAUUCCGGGUGUAGUGGUGAAAUGCGUAGAUAUCCGGAGGAACACCAGUGGCGAAAGCGGCCUCCUGGCCCAAACCUGACGCUCAUACACGAAAGCUAGGGGAGCGAACGGGAUUAGAUACCCCGGUAGC